GCAUUGGUGAUUCAGUGGUAGAAUUCUCGCCUGCCAUUGCGGGAGACCCGGGUCCGAUUCCCGGCCAAUGCA